CCUACGGGAGGCAGCAGUGAGGAAUAUUGGUCAAUGGACGAGAGUCUGAACCAGCCAAGUAGCGUGAAGGAUGACUGCCCUAUGGGUUGUAAACUUCUUUUAUAAAGGAAUAAAACGAGGCACGUGUGCCUUUUUGUAUGUACUUUAUGAAUAAGGAUCGGCUAACUCCGUGCCAGCAGCCGCGGUAAUACGGAGGAUCCGAGCGUUAUCCGGAUUUAUUGGGUUUAAAGGGAGCGUAGAUGGGUUGUUAAGUCAGUUGUGAAAGUUUGCGGCUCAACCGUAAAAUUGCAAUUGAUACUGGCAGUCUUGAGUACAGUUGAGGUAGGCGGAAUUCGUGGUGUAGCGGUGAAAUGCUUAGAUAUCACGAAGAACCCCGAUUGCGAAGGCAGCUUACUAACCUGUGACUGACAUUGAUGCUCGAAAGUGUGGGUAUCAAACAGGAUUAGAUACCCUAGUAGUC
rnacentral:rRNA from 1 species